UUUCUGGGCCUGCACAUGGUUGCCCAAGGGCCAAUCAGCAUCUACUUCCUCUCCUCUGAAGCCCAAGUUCUCAUCUCCUAUAGAAACACACAUUCUUUAAUAUCAGCCUUGGUUCUGGUUCCUGGUUCUCAUUCAACAUAGAUCCUCCUUUCAGUCUCCCAUAUUGCCCCAUGGAAUUUCAGAUGGAAACAUUGAAUUCUUCAUGAUUUCGAAUGUAUAAUUUUAAAUUUCCAUCAUUUUUGCAAGUAGUUUGUUAUAAGGUGGAAAAAGCAUGAAUUUUUGGUAAUUGAAAGCUUUCAAAUUCCAGU
rnacentral:lncRNA from 1 species